ensembl:lncRNA
CGAUCGCCGCUCCGCGCCGCGCGAGCCUCCUCCGCCUGACCGCGGUGCGGAACGCGCCGGCUCAGGCGAGAUCACUGUGUUUCGCAGCGGACGGGACCGCCGCGGUCCCUUUGCGGCCGCGGUCCUCGGAGCGGCGGCUCGCGCCGUUGCAGAGCCAAGAGCGCCCCCUGGCGGGAACGCGGCGGCGGUCCUCUAUGGCCUCUGUGUGCGAGGGGCUUGGGACGGGCGGCGUGCAGGGCGGUGCGCCGGCUGGGAGGGCUCGGGAAAGGGGAAAUAGCAGCCGAGGUGAGAAAGGAGCGUACGGAAAGGGUGGCAGGGCUGGCUGGUCCUCACCAGAUAGGUGAGACUAUGCAAGAUAAUCGUUGUCAGCUUAACGGAGAUGAGAACCAGGGGAAAAGUUUGCCUCUCUCAGAUUUCUAUAGCAAUUACAAUUAUAUACUGUGUAUUUCCAUCAUACCUCCACACCAUAAAAACCACAGAACUUCUGUCAGGGUGAUACAGACAUUUACUAUAGUCAACAUAAGAUGCACGAAUUAAGGAGUAGAUUAAAGUCCUACUGACUUUUUUUUUUUCCUUCACAAGAUCCCAAUUAAAUUAAACCUAAAAAGAUAUUAAAACAUAAUGUAAUGCUAAAAUGGGAUGGAAAGUACCGCAGUAAUAGCAGGGCAGCAGUCUCCAGCUACAGCAAAUGAGAACAAGCCCAGGUACAGCAGCUACAGAAAUGAAGGAAAAGAGCCACUUACCUUUAGAAGGCCUCAGGUAUGCAAGGAUCCCCAGCAAAAAAAACCCCUCACCUCCACUGCCAACCCUUAAAUGAGGUCUGGGAAGGUGUGGAUCCUGGCUCCACCUCUUCCAGACAUUCAGGUGCACUGCACUGCACUGCACUUGUGCUCCCCUGGGUUUGCCCUGCCUUCCACCAGGUGCUCAAUCACUGCUUGAGGUUGUGACACGUAUAAAUGGAACUGCUUUGUUUUCAGUGAAAAAAAGGUGUGAUAGAAGUAACCCUAGAAGAAGGUAACAAUAUGCUAAGGAAAUAGCUAUUCUGGGGCACUUCAUUCCUCGUGUAGAUAGGUUGUUGAGAUAACGGAGGCACAGAUAGUCUCACAGUAGACUUCUCCAUGGAGUUUCCUGUAGCCUGUGUUUCUCAGUUUCUGCUUCAUAUUGAAGUAGCUUAUCUAAUGCAACUUUCUGUGUUUCAAGACUGCAUGAAGUCUGCAACACAAGCAUGCUGAAAUUGCAUCAGUCUGACAAAAGCAAGGUGGUAGAUAAAAAACAUCUAUUUGUAUUUGAGCUUGCAAGCUAGCAAGUACCUGCAGUGUUUCUUUUCGUAUUCUUUUUUUGUAUAUUCUGCUCCUAAGGCAUGCUAUUGUUCCUUAGUGGGUGUGUUCUGUAACAUAAAACAACUGAAAAUACAGUCUCCUUGGAGCUUACAUAAACCACUAGCAUCCCCCUGGAGAGCAUAUUUUGGGAAGCUCUUAAAUGAAGUGUUCUGCUGGGAGCGUGGCAGUGGUGCUUCUGUACCAACUGACCGUGGCUGAUGAAGUGUGAAAACUGAUGCCUUCUCCUGUGUCAGCAACAUUCAAUUGGCAGGACUGGGGAAGAGCAAUAGGGAACAAGCUGUCAUUUUUUUCAAGUAUGCAUUCAGAGUGAUAGCAAAUCAUAAUUUGGUUUAGAAUUGUUGAGUCUUAUACAAACAAAAUUCCCUGCUAGAUAAUUCUUAAAAUAGUAUUUUUUAGGUCUUAUUAUUGCCUGAGGUUGUUUGGUGUUGUCACAUCCUGAAUAGGCAAUUCUAAAACAGCACAGGAAUGUUAUAAUUUAUUUAUUAAAAAAUGUACUUGUUGCUAAGCUUCACUCAGUGUUUUGCAAGGCAAUUACAAUUCACAUUUUGCCUCUAUAUUUAUUAUGAAGUUACUAAGCUGGAAAAACAACAACGAAAACCAAACUGAGUCUGUAUUUAGCAAAUAGAGUUAAAAGGUAAUAAUCUUUGAUGUAUAACUAUGCUUUCCAUGUCAGUUGAUUUUUUUUCCCCAAAUGUAUUUAUAUUACUUGAUUUGAUGUCUCCUUUUUGGUGGCUCUUGUUUCUUCUUCUGUCUUACUUAGUUUAAAGAAAAAAAAAUCAUAUUUUCCAAGUGGUGUAAAUGUUGUGUCAUCUUUAACUUAGGAAGAAGUAGCUUCUGAUAUGCCUCUAUCUUAAUGAUUUCUUUGUUGUGGCUGAAGUCACUGGUGAAUUCUUUCCUCUGCCAACAUUUUUAAUGAUUAGAAUACAUCAGUUUUGGAAGAGACUGCCAGUUCUUAACUCCUAGAAAUAAUCCCUUAUUUUAUCAGUGUUGUUCACCCAAACAGAUAAACCAAUUAAGUAUGAGAAUAGGUAGAAUCAAGACCCAGGGUUAGGUCACAUUAAAUCCUAUUUUACAGCCAUUGCUUGCUAUAUAGAUGCAUGCCCAAGCACUUGCAGUGGGAUGUGUUGACUUCUGUGUGGAAGUCAGUGCAUAUGAGAAGAUCAUUAGGACUGCAAAGAGCCACACAGAAGUUACCAAACACCAGCAUUACGGUUAAUUCUGUGCAGCGUAAUGUCCUUUGGUGCACGCAUUGCAAUCACUUAGAAUGCUGUAUGAUGGUGGAUCCUCCCACUCCAGAAGGUCACCCCUGCGAAUGAGACUGUUCCCUUUGUUCCUCACCUUCAGCCCUGUUGCAGUUCUCAGCUUUCUCCAGAUCCUCCAGCUACCCAUCUCCUUCUCCAGUGAGCCAGGACAAGGCAUUCUGGCACUCAGUACCUCUUCCUUCCUUCUCCUGCUUGGAUCCUCCCUGUUACUGCUCCUUUUUUUGCUCACCACCUGCCGUGGACCGCUCAUCACAGGAGGCCUGAAAGGACUGCUGUCUCCCUUGAACAGAAUCGUUGUGGCUUUCUUUAUUUUUCUUUAACAACCACUGGGGGGUUCUUCUUUCACUGCUAUUGCUGCGCACAGUGAUGGGUCGCUGUGGGUAGAGGAAGAACGUCGCCGCUCUGGCUCUGCUGCUUGACUUUUGUCACGAUAGGGCACAAUGCCUGUUGUGAACAGGGGAGUAAGAUCUGAGAGAAAUUGAUUCUCCAAACAAACUUUUCAGAGGCGUAGCAAUAGCAUCAUUUGAGCUAUUUUUUUUUUUUUAAUCGGGAAUCUGUUCUCCCCUUUUGAUUCCUCUACAGAAGUUCGGAUCAGCUGUGAAAUAAGACGACAUUUGGACUUCCUGAAGGAGAGGGUCCUUUCCCUUCACAUUAACAAGGAGUCAGGACGUGAGGCCUGCACCUGUCUUCACAUUUCUGGGAGAAGUGACUGAAGUUCAGACAGUGAACAAGUAACUGAGAACAAGCAUCAGAUAAACCCAGAAGCUGUGCUGCACCUUUGGGAAGACAUUCUGAUGCACUGAAAGACUUCACUCAUUGGUGUACCUAGAGAAGCUUUCCCUAUGCCUCUGACUUUCUCUGAUGCGAUAAAAAGGACAAAAGGAAGAGCCUACAGGAACCAGCGCAGCCAGACUCUUGUCUUUGUCCAGCACUGCCUUUUAAUUUGUGUGAGAGAACAGCAGGAGAGAUCACUUCAUGCUGUGUGUAUUGCUGGCAUGCGGAGUCAGGAAAAACAGACGCUCCUGAUUUGCUUUGAGAAUGACUCCCUAAUCCAGGAUGCUCUUCUGUUAAUGAAGCAGCCCCAUGGUGCUAGGGCAGCCCAGUAACUUUUGUUGUAAUAUUUAAAUCCUGUGCACACGGCAGCAUUUCUUGCCAGCUCUGCUCUGCUAGCUCUUGUUACGUUUAUAAGUGUGUUAGGUUUUCAGGUUUUCAUUUUUUAAGUUAUCCCAAUAAAAAAAGAGAUGAGUCUUUCUCACUGAUUUGUGAUCAUCCUGUUUUUGUCACAGUUGUCUUAUUUUGAAUGUAAAUGACCUAGAUUUAAUUUUCUAACCCGAAAAGGAGGUGUAACGUAGAAGAUCCAACAACUAAAACUAUGCAGAAUAUACUUUUAU